UUGGCGGCGUGGAUUACGCAUGCAAGUCGAGCGGAAAGGCCCCGCAAGGGGUACUCGAGCGGCGAAAGGGAGAGUAACGCGUGGAUUACCUACCCCCAGGUCCGGAAUAGCUGCGGGAAACUGCAAUUAAUGCCGGAUAAUAUCUGCGGAUCAAAGGUGUGAUUCCGCCUGGGGAGGGGUCCGCGUCCUAUUAGCUUGUUGGCGGGGUAAUGGCCCACCAAGGCGACGAUGGGUACCGGGUGUGAGAGCAUGACCCGGCUCACUGGGACUGAGACACUGCCCAGACACUUACGGGUGGCUGCAGUCGAUAAUCUUCAGCAAUGGGCGAAAGCCUGACCGAUCGACCCCGCGUGCGGGAUGAACGCCUUCGGGUUGUACACCGCUGU
rnacentral:rRNA from 1 species